rnacentral:pre_miRNA from 1 species
UCUUUGGUAUUCUAGCUGUAGAUUGUUUUCACAUAUUGUAUCAUCUAAAGCUUUUAUACCAAAGCUC